UACGUAGGGUGCGAGCGUUGUCCGGAAUUACUGGGCGUAAAGGGCUCGUAGGCGGUUCGUCACGUCGGGAGUGAAAACUCGGGGCUUAACCCCGAGCCUGCUUCCGAUACGGGCAGACUAGAGGUAGGCAGGGGAGAGCGGAACUCCUGGUGUAGCGGUGGAAUGCGCAGAUAUCGGGAAGAACACCCAUGGCGAAGGCAGCUCUCUGGGACGGUACUGACGCUGAGACGCGAAAGCGUGGGGAGCGAACAGG
rnacentral:rRNA from 1 species